UUAGAGCGUGCUGGUCAGCGGGGAGCCCGCCCUCAACGCCGCAGAGCUAAGGGAAGCUUCAGGGCCAGAAAACUGGUGGAUAUUUUCUCCUGAUGGAAAAGCCGCAGGGCAUCUGUUAACAACCUGCUAUUACUCCUAUAGGACUCUGCAAAGUGGAGUUGGACGCAAACAAAUUCAGGGGAAAGUGAUUGAUGAAGGGAUGAAACUCAAGCAACGAGCCCAUCAGGGCUCCUUUGAAAAUGAGAUUCUUAAUCUCAACAGGACUUCCCUGGUUAAAAAAAGUUGUCCUGUCACCUGUACAGAAAAGCAGCACCUCCCGUGCGUCACAGUAGUCAUGGUGUUCUCAUCAUUCUUCCUUCUCCAAACACGAUCUCUCAUCUUUUAAAGAGGAACAACUUGCAGAAAUUGUCAAGGACCAAGAGACAAGAGGAAUCAGGAGUCAGAUACAACUAAACGUAUCAAAAACCUUGGGAGAGCCAAACCUCAGACGCCAUUCCAGAGGAGUCUCAUCCUUGAGAGAAAUCUGGGUCAACCCUGACUCUGCAUUUUUUUUUUCUAAAGAUCAUUACAAAGCGUGUUCUUAUCGGUGGAUGAAUUGAUAAAGGUCUUAUAAUCACCUUGUUACACAAUAAGUUCUUAAGGGGCUCUUUUUGGUUCAUUGUGAAAAAAAGAAUAUGUAUUUGUGUAAUAUUUCUUGGUUUUAUUUUUGGAUAAAACCAUAAUAUUGAAAUGAAAAGUCAAAGCCAAAGUCAUUUCACUUUGAGUUCAUUGUUUUGCUAAUGUUCCAGGGUUGGUCUGCCAGCCUCCUAUAAACCAUCAUGUUGACAGCUUCACUGGAGCCGCUUUGUGUUACAACAAGUGAUUUCCUUCCCAAUGUCACCACUGGUGAUUUCAACAGUCACACGCACCGAUAAUCCCAGAGACAAAGCUGUGUAAUCUGGGCCGUUUGCGAUGUUUGAUGUCACAGCAUGUCAACAUGUGAUCUGAUUAUGAACAAGGCUGUUAGUGCAUGUAAUAGUUUUAUCACUGUCAGAAGUGACAUGGUCCCUAAUUGCAGGGUGAUAAAAAAAAGUUUUGGUACAGAAAAAUGUAUAAUAUAUAAAACUUGACAAAAAAUAUUAUACUUUCCUGCAGCAGUCCUGGACCGUAAGGACCAGAUUUAUUCGAAUUUCCUACUAUGCCUUUGAGGAAAAGAAUCUCCCCAUCAAAUACAAAUUUGGAUCUACCUAAUCCACAGUGAUAAUACAUUUUUGACAUAGUGGACAAACCUCCCCCAAAUAGUGAUGACAUCACAGCAGGGGACAAAAAAAAGAUGGGGCCAAAAUCUUUUUUUUUUUUUUUUUAGAAUCCACUAAGAAAACCAAAACAUGUGUCAAGGUGUAUACACACUGGUUUCAAGCAACUACUCUCAAUGAAAAGUCUAUGCAAACCCGCAUAGACCAGAAUUCCAGAUCCGGAACUCUUGUGAUCGCAAGCCCCUACACAAGUCCAGUUGCUGGCUCUACGUCCAGAACAAGUGUUCAUUGAUCACCAGCUGGAAGUUCAACCAGGGACUCGUACAAGUGGGUAGCGUCCGCUACAAAAUACGGACGUACCAACUGUUGUAAACCCAAUCGCGAAGGAUAAAUGAAUAAUUGCGGUUUCUGUCUGGUCGGGUUAAUAUGACACCAAGACGGCCUUUUGAAGGCUGUGAAAACACAAACCUUGGAGCAAGAUUUGCACCUCUUUGUCUUUACGUUUCGAGCCUUGACCAAUUUUAGGUGGUGGAUAAGCGCUAGUGAACAAUAAAAAAAUAAAAGAAGAA